UGGUCUGCCCUUGUGGCCUAUUGUCUUGGGGAAGGGGCUGGGGCAGUGGAGGCAAAGUGACAGCUGGUUAGAAGCAGCUUCUCCCACUCAGCUAGGUACUGGCCAUUGGGGGCUCUUUGUGGCUUGGGCAAAGUCUUGUUAACCGGGAAUGGAAACUUUGGGGGAAGGGUGGGGAGUCAGUCAGCCAAGUGCCUCAGUAUGCCCUGUUGAAACUUGGGUUUUUCCACACACUUGACGGAUUGUGUUCCAGGAAGAUUUCCUUUAGUUUUUUUGCUUCUCCCAUAGAAGAAACGGGUGGCUUUGCUUGGUCUGGUGAGGCUCCAGUCCCACCAGUAGCCACUUAAAAACCUCCUUGACCCCUUUUUACUUCUGAAUCUUUUAUAAGUAGUUGUAGCUGGGGAAGGGAGUGGGAAGGGAGUGGCCAGG